rfam:Scleropages formosus scaffold4056, whole genome shotgun sequence.
GUUGGGUAUGGGGACAUGAAACCGAUAACAGUUGGGGGUAAAAUAGUUGGGUCUCUUUGCGCCAUUGCUGGGGUCUUGACCAUCGCCCUCCCCGUGCCCGUCAUCGUGUCCAAC